rnacentral:rRNA from 1 species
GUAAUAUAUCGGAACGUGCCCAGUCGUGGGGGAUAACGUAGCGAAAGCUACGCUAAUACCGCAUACGAUCUACGGAUGAAAGCGGGGGACUCGUAAGAGCCUCGCGCGAUUGGAGCGGCCGAUAUCAGAUUAGGUUGUUGGUGAGGUAAAAGCUCACCAAGCCUGCGAUCUGUAGCUGGUCUGAGAGGACGACCAGCCACACUGGAACUGAGACACGGUCCAGACUCCUACGGGAGGCAGCAGUGGGGAAUUUUGGACAAUGGACGAAAGUCUGAUCCAGCAAUGCCGCGUGCAGGACGAAGGCCUUCGGGUUGUAAACUGCUUUUGUACGGAACGAAACGGUCUUCUUUAAUACAGAGGGCUAAUGACGGUACCGUAAGAAUAAGCACCGGCUAACUACCUCCCACUAACCGCGGU